UACGGGGGGGGCAAGCGUUGUUCGGAAUUACUGGGCGUAAAGGGCUCGUAGGCGGCCAACUAAGUCGGACGUGAAAUCCCCAGGCUCAACCUGGGAACUGCGUCCGAUACUGGAUGGCUUGAAUCCGGGAGAGGGAUGCAGAAUUCCAGGUGUAGCGGUGAAAUGCGCAGAUAUCAGGAGGAACACCGGUGGCGAAGGCGGGUCUCUGGGCAACAACUGACGCUGAGGAGCGAAAGCGUGGGGAGCGAACAGG
rnacentral:rRNA from 1 species